rnacentral:rRNA from 1 species
UACAGAGGUCUCAAGCGUUGUUCGGAUUUAUUGGGCGUAAAGGGCGCGUAGGCGGCGGGGUAAGUCGGGUGUGAAAUCUCAGGGCUCAACCCUGAAACUGCACUUGAUACUGCUCUGCUUGAGGACUGGAGAGGAGACUGGAAUUCACGGUGUAGCAGUGAAAUGCGUAGAUAUCGUGAGGAAGACCAGUGGCGAAGGCGGGUCUCUGGACGGUUCCUGACGCUGAGGCGCGAAGGCCAGGGGAGCAAACGGG